rnacentral:rRNA from 1 species
UACGAAGGGGGCUAGCGUUGUUCGGAAUCACUGGGCGUAAAGCGCACGUAGGCGGAUCUUUAAGUCAGGGGUGAAAUCCCGAGGCUCAACCUCGGAACUGCCUUUGAUACUGGGGAUCUCGAGUCCGGGAGAGGUGAGUGGAACUGCGAGUGUAGAGGUGAAAUUCGUAGAUAUUGGGAAGAACACCGGUGGCGAAGGCGGCUACUCUGGACCGAUACUGACGCUGAGGCGCGAAAGCUGGGGGAGCAAACCGG